GCUCACGUGGUGGAAUUGGUAGACACGCUAUCUUGAGGGGGUAGUGUCCGUAUGGACGUGGAAGUUCGAAUCUUCUCGUGAGCA
rnacentral:tRNA from 1 species